rnacentral:rRNA from 1 species
AGUGAACGCUGGCGGUAGGCCUAACACAUGCAAGUCGAACGGCAGCACAGGAGAGCUUGCUCUCUGGGUGGCGAGUGGCGGACGGGUGAGGAAUACAUCGGAAUCUACCUUUUCGUGGGGGAUAACGUAGGGAAACUUACGCUAAUACCGCAUACGCCCUACGGGGAAAGGAUCUAUCGCCAUUGGAGCGGCCCGCGUUG